GUGGGGAAUAUUGGGCAAUGGGGGAAACCCUGACCCAGCAACGCCGCGUGAGGGAAGAAGGUUUUCGGAUUGUAAACCUCUGUCCUUGGUGACGAAAAAAAUGACGGUAGCCAAGGAGGAAGCCCCGGCUAACUACGUGCCAGCAGCCGCGGUAAUACGUAGGGGGCAAGCGUUGUCCGGAAUGACUGGGCGUAAAGGGCGUGUAGGCGGCCGAUUAAGUCUGGAGUGAAAGUCCUGCUUUCAAGGUGGGAAUUGCUUUGGAGACUGGUUGGCUUGAGUGCGGAAGAGGUAAGUGGAAUUCCCAGUGUAGCGGUGAAAUGCGUAGAGAUUGGGAGGAACACCAGUGGCGAAGGCGACUUACUGGGCCGUAACUGACGCUGAGGCGCGAAAGCGUGGGGAGCGAACAGGAUUAGAAACCCGAGUAGUCC
rnacentral:rRNA from 1 species